rnacentral:lncRNA from 1 species
UACUGGUACUUCGAUCUCUGGGGCCGUGGCACCCUGGUCACUGUCUCCUCAGCAUCCCCGACCAGCCCCAAGGUCUUCCCGCUGAGCCUCUGCAGCACCCAGCCAGAUGGGAACGUGGUCAUCGCCUGCCUGGUCCAGGGCUUCUUCCCCCAGGAGCCACUCAGUGUGACCUGGAGCGAAAGCGGACAGGGCGUGACCGCCAGAAACUUCCCACCCAGCCAGGAUGCCUCCGGGGACCUGUACACCACGAGCAGCCAGCUGACCCUGCCGGCCACACAGUGCCUAGCCGGCAAGUCCGUGACAUGCCACGUGAAGCACUACACGAAUCCCAGCCAGGAUGUGACUGUGCCCUGCCCAGUUCCCUCAACUCCACCUACCCCAUCUC